UGAACCGUUUCUACCAUUCAUA
rnacentral:miRNA from 1 species